GGCCUUUAUGUAUAACCCGACCAAUCCAUGAGAGGAUUAGGGUCCGCAGUUACGUAACACAAACACGGCACUAUAAAACCCCAACCAGGAUUUCAUUUUCAACCAUUCUCAUCAUUUGCAGAAACCGCUAACCCUAGCGAUAACAAAAACGUUCGUUAUCGAACAUGAGAGCUAAGUGGAAGAAGAAGCGCAUGAGGAGGUUGAAGAGAAAGCGCAGAAAGAUGAGACAGAGAUCCAAGUAGGUACACUAGCACAACCAAGAAGAGCUUACCCUUCUGUUUUUUACCAGGUGGUCACAACUUUGAUCACAACCUACAUUCCUGCUCAUGCUAUCAAUAUUAUACGCGCAUCGACAAGAUAUAUAUUAUAUGCCUUUAUUACUAUUAUAUAUUAUAUUACUGUAAUAUAUUAAAUAUUAUAUAUUCUUGUUAUAUAUUAUAUUAUAAAUUGUUCUGGAUACUUUUAUAUAUUA